AAAUUGAAGAGUUUGAUCAUGGCUCAGAUUGAACGCUGGCGGCAGGCCUAACACAUGCAAGUCGAACGGUAACAGGAAGAAGCUUGCUUCUUUGCUGACGAGUGGCGGACGGGUGAGUAAUGUCUGGGAAACUGCCUGAUGGAGGGGGAUAACUACUGGAAACGGUAGCUAAUACCGCAUAACGUCGCAAGACCAAAGAGGGGGACCUUCGGGCCUCUUGCCAUCGGAUGUGCCCAGAUGGGAUUAGCUAGUAGGUGGGGUAACGGCUCACCUAGGCGACGAUCCCUAGCUGGUCUGAGAGGAUGACCAGCCACACUGGAACUGAGACACGGUCCAGACUCCUACGGGAGGCAGCAGUGGGGAAUAUUGCACAAUGGGCGCAAGCCUGAUGCAGCCAUGCCGCGUGUAUGAAGAAGGCCUUCGGGUUGUAAAGUACUUUCAGCGGGGAGGAAGGGAGUAAAGUUAAUACCUUUGCUCAUUGACGUUACCCGC
rnacentral:rRNA from 1 species